rnacentral:rRNA from 1 species
UACGUAGGUGGCAAGCGUUAUCCGGAUUUAUUGGGCGUAAAGGGUGCGCAGGCGGUUUACUAAGUCUAAGAUGAAAGCCCGAAGCUUAACUUCGGUUUGUUUUAGAAACUGAUAGACUUGAGUAUGGUAGAGGCAAAUGGAAUUCCUAGUGUAGCGGUGGAAUGCGUAGAUAUUAGGAGGAACACCAGUGGCGAAGGCGAUUUGCUGGGCUCUAACUGACGCUGAGGCUCGAAAGUGUGGGGAGCAAACA